GCUGGCGGCACGCCUAACACAUGCAAGUCGAACGAAGUAGCAAUACUUAGUGGCAGACGGGUGAGUAACAUGUAGGUAUCUGCCCUUUGGCCUGGAAUAACACGAGGAAACUUGUGCUAAUACCGGAUAAGUCUUUACGGAGAAAGCUUUAUGCACCAUUGGAUGAGCCUGCACUUGAUUAGUUUGUUGGUGGGGUAAUGGCCUACCAAGACUGUGAUCAAUAGCUGAUUUGAGAGGAUGAUCAGCCACAUUGGGACUGAGACACGGCCCAAACUCCUACGGGAGGCAGCAGUGGGGAAUCUUGCACAAUGGAGGAAACUCUGAUGCAGCGAUGCCGCGUGAGUGAAGAAGGCCUUUGGGUUGUAAAGCUCUUUCGUCGGGGAAGAAAAUGACUGUACCCGAAUAAGAAGGUCCGGCUAACUUCGUGCCAGCAGCCGCGGUAAUACGAAGGGACCUAGCGUAGUUCGGAAUUACUGGGCUUAAAGAGUUCGUAGGUGGUUGAAAAAGUUGGUGGUGAAAUCCCAGAGCUUAACUCUGGAACUGCCAUCAAAACUUUUCAGCUAGAGUAUGAUAGAGGAAAGCAGAAUUUCUAGUGUAGAGGUGAAAUUCGUAGAUAUUAGAAAGAAUACCAAUUGCGAAGGCAGCUUUCUGGAUCAUUACUGACACUGAGGAACGAAAGCAUGGGUAGCGAAGAGGAUUAGAUACCCUCGUAGUCCAUGCCGUAAACGAUGUGUGUUAGACGUUGGAAAUUUAUUUUCAGUGUCGCAGCGAAAGCGAUAAACACACCGCCUGGGG
rnacentral:rRNA from 1 species